AAAAUUUAAAAAAAACGCGGAAAUGUACUAAGUCUAAAAUUAAGGAAGCGGGAGCCAAAUUUUCACUCCCUCCCAACACUUAGUCAGAUUUCCACGACUGAUUGACUAGGUUUUCCUCUACUUUUCCCCACACCGGCCGCGAUACAGAAACACCGAGACAGACUUCCUCUUUCACCCACACCGCGACCGAUCGUCCUCUUUCCCCACACCGCGAUACAGAGACACCGCAACCGAAGUCAUCUGUCGCCCCCGUCCAGUAACCGACGACCUCUUUCGCCUUCUCUGGCUCCGAUGGCUUGAUUUCCUCCUCCUUGUCCGCCUUCUUCUCUCUCAUCUCUCUUCUGAAAUCCAGCGAAUCUCCCAAUUGCUGAGAUCGAGAAGCCGAAGCCGGAGCUGCAGUGGCCGUCUGUCCUUUCUCUUUCCACGGGCCUCCCCUUCUCAGCCCCUCUCUUCGACCGUCGAGGCGGCGACGGCCAUCGCUCUCAUCGACAGCACUUCUGAGGCAAUUACGGCUAUUAAGGAGCAAGAGAAGCAAAUUAACGAUUUUAGACAACAUUAGUGGGAUUAUAAGACCUUCAAGAUUGACGUUGUUAUUGGGUCCACCGAGCUCCGGCAAGACGACGCUACUAUUGGCUCUCGCCGGACGCCUUGGAACUGGUCUUUAGAUGUCAGGUAGCACAACAUACAAUGGCCAUGGCUUAAACGAGUUUGUGCCGCAGAGGACGUCGGCUUAUGUCAGUCAACAGGACUGGUUUGCGGCGGAGAUGACUGUAAGGGAGACUCUUGACUUUGCAGGACGGUGUCAAGGUGUUGGAUUCAAAUAUGAUAUGCUAGUAGAACUAGCAAGAAGAGAAAAGAUUGCGGGGAUAAAACCCGAUGGUGAUCUUGAUAUAUUCAUGAAGGUACUUGUUCUUGCUACAUGGAGAAAGGCAUUGGAUACAUCUAAUGAGGGAUAGGCCAAUCAUUCUGCACAUUGAUAGAUAUAGGGUUUAGGGUUUAAAGAAAGAAUAGAUUAUUUCUAAUUCCUGAAGAGCGUGUAGGAGUUUGAUUGUGGGAACCCAAAAUGACCACACACUAUGACCAUAAUGAUUUGAUUUCUAGAUUGUCAGGAAAAUAAUCUCUUUCUCUACAAAAGGUAAUUAUACUUGGAAUGUGAUUUGGCUGAGGAAAUCUCAUGUAAGCUUUCUCUUUCUCUAAAAGAAUAACUGAAACAAACAGGAUAUUCUUUUGAGUUUUCUGAUGCAAGCUUUCUCUGUCUUAGACACAAUGGGAUGUUUCUAACUUUCUAUACUGACUAAUUAUUUAGUUAAUUAGUUCCUUUUCGUUUUCUGUUUUCAGCAGUUGUUGCAAUUCGUUUUCAUGACUCUUGCUAUGUCAAAAUGACUAUAUAAGUGGACCAUAUCCUAUCUACUUUUUGGUAUGGAUCAUCAUAUUAUAGAAACUCAAAGUCUGUUUAACUAAGCAAACAGAUGAUAAGUUCUCCAAGAACAGAGAAAUUCUAUUGAAUCAAACCAUGCAGCUUAAAAGGAAAACAAGACUGAUUUUCCAAAAGCUAAAGGCGGUUGGUAGAUGCCUAGACUUGAAGUGGCAUGGCAUUUAAUAAAUUCAAAUUGUAAGUUAUUGAUCAUUGGUGUUGCACUUGUGGUGAUUCUGUUGAUCAUUCUCAUCACCAAACACCCAAAGAAUUACCUACACCCAACACGCAUAACAUCUGGAGCAGCAGCUUUGGUGUUUUCAGCCUUCUACAUCAUGGUAUGAUAUUGUCAUGGAAAUAUUUUGGAUCUUUAAGUUUUUUGUUUACUCCUCUUUAUAAAAGUUGAUAUCCUCUCAUUCCAUGUUGAUAUCUGGGAUAUAAAGUACCUGUUUCUCCCUCUGCAAUGGAUUGGCAUGAAUGCUAUGCUUGUCUACGUUAUGGCAGCUGAAGGCAUCUUUGCAAGGUUCAUCAACGGGUGGUAUUACAAGGACCCCCAUAAUACGCUAGUACAUUUACAUACCUUCAUUCUUUUCCUGCAAUUACCAUGUUAGAUAGAUUAUUAUCUCACCGAAACUCAUUCGAUACGACUGCUCAUGCAGUCAUGCUUGCUAUACAUAGCUGACUAUGAUUACUCGCAUUCUCUUUUCCAUUGAAGUGGUUUUAUAGCUUUACUUUUCAGCUAAUACUGAUAUGAGUAAUAUUUUUGCUACUUGUGGCAGAUAUAUUGGAUCCAGAAGCACAUUUUUGUUGGGAUUUGGCAUUCAAGGAGAGUAGGCAUUCCACUCUAUGUAAUCUUCGCAAAGAUCUUGUUUUGGGGCAUUGUCGCUGGCAUUUUGCAUUGGUUGGGCAUAUAUUGGAAGCUUUAAAUUCUACUUUUAGCACUUUGGAUUCACUGUAGUGAAUCUUGGACUCUUGAACUACUUGUUUAUGCCUUUAUUUCUUCUAAACUCUGUGAAGAACUGCAGUAGCUUAAACUUUUAAUUUUUAAUUUUUCUCUGAGAAUAAAUAAAGAUAUUUAUAUUUAAUAUUUUAAGUUACUAAUUAGAACCUAAUUAACAGGUUAAAAAGAUAGCUUUAAAGAUGACACCAUUAACUAAAAUAAUGCCAUGUAACGUGGAGCAUUGUAGAUUUUACCACUAAUUGUUAUGAUAUGGUUGUGCUCUGCGUUUUAGGGGUCUUUACCGAGCUUAUUCAGCAGAUGCAAGUAAAAGGUGCGCAGCCAGAUAAGAACGACAAGGAUUUGGAUCGGGCGAGUGAGAGGCAGGAUCUUGAAGGAAAAGAGCUAAAGCAAGAAACUACUUUGCAUGAACUGGAGCUGGUUGCCGUCCAUGCUCUUCAUGAACUUGUUUCUUUAGUUCACAGUCAUGUCAAUGCUGCAGGGCAAUAUGAUUUUGAGUAAGGCUAGAUUUUGCUGACUAUUUUGUAGUAGAUGUAGUGAUAUCAGGAUGAAUUGUGAACAAAUUAUACUGCAUGUAGUUAUUGCAGUAGUGGUAUCUUCUAGACUAGCCUUAAAGUAGGUUAGGGUUUAUUGUGCAAAAUUUUUGAAGCUACCUCAAGCUCUAAUUUUGUAUAGAAAUUAAUGCAAUUCCCCAAUAUUUGAAUUU